rnacentral:rRNA from 1 species
UACAGAGGGGGCAAGCGUUGUUCGGAUUCACUGGGCGUAAAGGGCGCGUAGGCGGUCAGCACAAGUCAGUUGUGAAAUCUCCGGGCUUAACUCGGAAAGGUCAACUGAUACUGCGAGCUAGAGUGCGGAAGGGGCAACUGGAAUUCUCGGUGUAGCGGUGAAAUGCGUAGAUAUCGAGAGGAACACCUGCGGCGAAGGCGGGUUGCUGGGCCGACACUGACGCUGAGGCGCGAAAGCUAGGGGAGCGAACGGG